rnacentral:rRNA from 1 species
UACGGAGGGGGCAAGCGUUGUUCGGAUUUACUGGGCGUAAAGGGUGUGUAGGCGGCUGGAUAAGUCUGGCGUGAAAUCUUCACCGCUUAACGGGAAGGGGUCGCUGGAAACUGUUCAGCUUGAGUAUGGUAGAGGCAAGCGGAAUUCCUGGUGUAGCGGUGGGAAUGUGUAGAUAUCAGGAGGAACACCGGUGGCGAAGGCGGGUCUCUGGGCAGUAACUGACGCUGAGGAGCGAAAGCGUGGGAGCGAACAGG